AGUCGCAGGUGUAAUGAUGCAGAACUAGCUUGAGCAAAAAUUAAACUAAAAAGUAACCCAGUAUCAAUAUCUUGUUGAGUAUACAGGAAUGCAGAUAUUCCCACUGCACAGUCAGCACUGGCAAUGAAACCCACCCAAAUCUCUUCCUAGCAACUCAGAAAUAUCCCACUUUGCUUGUAGCAUUUCUCAUUCUAAGUGUGAGAAAAUUAAAGUCAAAACCUAAGGAAGGAGAGUAAAAAAAAUGCCCAUUUGCUGUUAUUGUUGGUUUUACCCUGACUUGGGAAACAAACAAUCCAUUUCUGCUCCAUAGGUAGGACAUUAGAUAUCUCUUAUUUUCACAUGGUUUCAUUACCAACAAUUUUUCCUCCUGCUUAGUAAGCAACCAAAUAGUGACAAGCUUUUGUACAGCAUCAGAGGUUUCUUAAAUGCCAUGUUUAUAAAUAUUACCGCAGAUACAAAUUAUUCUUGCCACCUGUCCCUUAAAAUGUUAGGCUGCCCUUUAAAUGUUUAUUUUACCUGAAGUUCAUCCAUGUUGUGGAAGUUAAUGAGCCUCCUGAAACUGCAUCAUAAAUAUUUCCCUCUCUGCAGCAUUUCUUUUUACAGGAAGUGUCUGGGGGACCUCUAUAAAGAUCCACCAGAUGUGCUUUGCCAGACAUCUUUCCUGUAGGCUUCUUGAGAAUAUGGACAUAACACUCACCAUGUGAGCAACCCCCCUGGCAUCAGAAACCUCCAAGAGGAGCACAAAACUAAACUGCUGAAAGGAGCACUCCCUAGCAACAG